rnacentral:rRNA from 1 species
GACGAACCGAGCGAACGUUGUUCGGAAUCACUGGGCUUAAAGGGCGCGUAGGCGGGCUGUCAAGUCUGGGGUGAAAUCCCGCGGCUCAACCGUGGAACUGCCUCAGAUACUGACGGCCUCGAGGGAGGUAGGGGCGAGCGGAACUGUGAGUGGAGCGGUGAAAUGCGUUGAUAUUCACAGGAACUCCGGUGGCGAAGGCGGCUCGCUGGACCUUUUCUGACGCUGAGGCGCGAAAGCUAGGGGAGCAAACGGGG